UUGCUGCUGGUAGGGCUGGACCCGCUCUCGAGAGAUUGGGAGGAUUCAGUCAGAAGGGGCUGCUGACCUGCCCCGUUCACCAGGGCUGCCAUCCUGUGGCUUCAGCUUUUGUCACUGGGGUGACUUGGGGAAAGGUCUCAACCUCUCCCCAUCCCACUUCACUGCUGCCAGAAUCCCUCCUGCCCCCCGCCGCCCUGCUAGAACCCCUCCCUGCCCUACCUGGGAGGGGAUGGAGGUGGGGGUGGAGGAGAGGGUUCUACGAACUUGAGCGGUGUCUCCAGGUGGGUUGAAGGUGGAACAGCUGUCAGGGGCACGGAUGGGGAGGUGGCAGGAGCUCACCCAACAAGGAGGGGGGUUGGCACUGGAGGUCACUAGAGAGGAUAGCAAUCCUCCAUCCUGGGGAUCAGGAGGGUGAAUCUACCACUCAGACAUGAGCAGCUGCUGGGUGGAAAUGAUGGUGCUGGUUCCAGGUGCCCUUAAUCCUCCCUGAUUUCUGGGGAGUGUCUCAGUCUCUGACAUGUUCUCGUUCCCCUGCAGCACGAGGAUGUCACAGCCAAGGUCAUGUGCCAGCUCCACAUCAUCCGGCACUUGUGCCAGAUGCCCGAGGUGCUGCAAGGGCUGUGGCUCAUCUGAUGCUCUUAAAGGUUCCCCUCCCAUGUUCAGCAACUCCUGCUCCCUGCUGCAGCUCCACUUCCCGCAGCAGGAUAAAUGAACCUUCAGAUCCUAGAGAACGGACUCUGACCUCCUUCUGAUCAGCAAUGGGGUUUCACCAUCCCCUCAACAAACCUGUCAGCCGGGUUGGACCAGAUUUGAAGGAGGAGGGUAUCUAACAGGGUGGCUUGGCCUGUGGCUGCCAAGCCUGGAGCUAGGCCAAAUUGAUGACCAAGUGAGCUCCACCUGAGAGGAAACAAGGGAAAACAGCAGCAAAAGUGCAGAAGCAGAUCGAGCUGUUCAGUAGACGGCGUUGGGCCAAAACCUGGAGUCCAGGGUAGGACUAGGUUCUCUCACCGUCCCUAAGGAAGGGGACAUAGAAGACCACAGAAACCCAAGAAGGGGGGGCCGAGCCAAAAUCAGGCUGAGGAAGAGCUCCCCACGAGGGUGGAAGGCCUUUUUGCUGUUCAAGACAUUUUGGGACUUUGUUUGGAAGGAGCACGACCCAGGAAGGAGUGGACUAAAGGACAGUCACCUGGUUGGAGGGCUGAGUUCCCAGCCAACAAACUGCAAGAGUGAGUCUCAGCGGGGUUGCUAGCCCAGCUAGAAAGCUGUGACAUGAGGCCUGGCCAGGAUGUAGCGUCUCUGGCCCAGCCUCUUACACAGAUGUGUGCUGCAGCCAGCCCAGAGAAGGGAGCAGUGGGCACAGAUGAUCUCAUCCUGUCAAACCAAGCAACAGGGGUCCCAUUGAGGCUUACAUGGAAGAGCCGAGGCAUCUCCUGGAGAGGAUGAGUCCGGGAUCCUGGAGACGGUUUCCUGCAGAAGGUUUGAGUGGGGAGAGAUCACUCACUGUCAUGACCCAUGGGUCAUUAACCCGGGUCUGCAGGGUUCCUGGGAGCACCCACACUCCAGCACGCCACCUGGAAGCCUACGAAAAACUGUUUACCUAGGACUAAGGAAGUCCAGACCCAGUUUGAGGCUCCAUCCCUGAGGCCUAUUGGCAGAGUCCCAGAGCAUCUAAUCGGCCCCCAGGACCUCCUUAAACCAGCAGCAGGAACAAGAAGCUGUCUGAACACCCGAGCUCCCCCCUACCCCCUCUGGACUGUGUGUUAACUGUUCCUGCUCCCACUCCCCAUGCUUGAUUUUCUGGCGUCCUGACUCAGGGUGACUCAUCUGAUUUGAGGUUCUGAACACAAUUUGGUCUUUUGCUUCUGCUCUUUCAGUGUCCUGACCCAGCUGACUCUCGACUCCUGUCUUGUGAGUGUGGACUCUGCCUCUGACCACUAGGUCUGGCUGCCCAUGACCCAGCUGUCACAUUGACUUUUCUCCAAUUCCUCCAGUGCCCUUUUCUGCUCUCCAGCUCU